GCGCCGGCUUCCAUUGAAUGAGCGAGGGAAUGAAUUUGUGCUUUGUUUGUGAUGAGAGAGAGAGAGAGAGAGAGAGAGAGAGAGAGAGAGAGAGAGAGAGGGAGAGAGGGAGAGAGAGUGACAAACAGAGGGUGUGUGGGGGUGGUGGAAAAACCGAGGAGGGUGUCUUGGGGGAUUUUGUUUUGUUUUGGUCGUUUUGGAGUUUGGGGAAAGCAAAGCGAAGGCAAAUACGCGAUCGUGCCUAAGUGGCUUAUGCCUUUUGUUUUAAUGUUCUCUUCCUGUGUUUGUGUGUGUUUUGUGGCUUCUUCUAUGUGCACGUGUUAGGGCUCUGGCGGGUUUGCUGUGUCAAUCAAUUGGUUCCACUUUCUCAGUUUCCCUUAAUUCUUUCCAUAAUUCCUUUGAUUUUUUUUUUCUUUCCUUUUUGUUCAAACAAAACAAAAAUCUUUGAAUUUUUAUAUUAAAACUUGCCCAAACCCAUCCAUAACAAAUUUAAGAACCCUUAUAGGAAUGUUAUCAGUAAUUUUAAUUAGAACCUUUGUUACCAAUUAUACGAGUCUUUACCCCCAACUAAAUACAUCUCCAACUUACUGCAUUGCUUUUUAAAAAUAAAAACAAAAUAUUUCGAUACGUCCGGUGUAUAACCUAGUGUACCUGAAAUAUGCAAAAAUUACUCUAAAUAAAGAGAAUCACAUUAUGUGUGGGAAUAUUUUUAUUCGAUUCAACUUUUGCUAAAAGGUGGUGGUUUUUGGUUUCUCUGUCUCUUUUUUCAUCCUUUACGAAACGACUGAUAAGCGAAACGGCUGUGUGAACAACGACAUAUCAAUUGGCAGGCCACAAAGCUUUUUUCUUUUCUUCUUGUCUUUCCUUUGAUAUUAAACGUUUACAUUAUUAUGAAGUAAACGUUACCGGACAACAUGUUGAGAAACUCAACAUUUGACAAUUGGACCCUCAUUGGCUCUGUAUGAGAAUAUUAUAAAGCCACUUCAUCGAAGUCAACCUUAAGGAAGUACUGGAAUAUGGCUCAGAAAUAUACAUAUUCAUAUGCAGGAAGGGUUGGAUUCCUACGAGCUUUGCCUCCUAAAAAUGUUUAAAACAACAGAAACAAUUUUUUUUUUUCAAUAAAAAGGUUUAAAAACGAAGAGGCUAUGAUGAUGUCUCCAUAACCACCCUCCAACUCCUACCCACCUCACUACUAGUUACUUACAAUAGAAUCAAAAGCCUCUUUGGCAGCAUGAAGGGACUUGCCCUUUUCCACUCCUAAAACAUUCCAACCUCCAUGUCUUAUUCAAAGGACAAUCAAGAAAACCACAACACCUCAAACUAUCACUACUUUUCACAUCACAUCCACAGCCAGCAAAUCGCUUCUUUACACCCUCUCUUUGCUAUGAAUCUGAUGGAGUUCCAUCAAAAUCACAAUCUGCUAGCAUCAUCCACCUCCCUUUAGAAAAGAUGGGUCCCAAGAUACGCAUAUACAAUUCAUGGUAAACCAAUGCACAAGAGCUGGUAUCAACAACUAGAUCAACCCUCAAAGAACAUGAAUGAAACUGUCCUGCAGUCAAGACAGCCCUAAAUGUUCGUCACCUACUGCAACAUUAAUCCACUUGACUCAAACGCCCCAGUCAAUAAUAAGGCCUCCAAUUAUCAUGUUCCAAGAAGCUAAGUUUAUCGUAUUUCAUCCAGCUUCUUUUGUGGAUCAAUCAUCACGACAGAUUUCACAAGUAUCACUCUGUUCCUCAUAUAUACUCCCUGUUCAACCUUCAAAAUCCAUGUUCUUUGUACCUCAAACCAACUCGUCUAUUUAACUACAACCUCUAGAACUGGGUUUUACAUUCAGGCUCUCUUUCAAAGGCCAACUUUGGAAGGGCCGUACUGUGGUCUAACUCUAGCUCUUGUUCCACCAAGGAACACCAAAUUUGAGGAAACGUGUUUCACUAUAUUCUUCUACUAAAUGAAGAGGAGAACCCAGAAUACAAAGAUCUCUGUUUUAAAAACUUAGGACCUGGAAAGAAAAAGAGAACCAGAAGCUAGUCUAAACCUAAAAGAUUGGAGCAGAAAAGAUAGGUCGCCUUGAGAAGGAAAAACAGGAUAUCACUCAAGGUCAGAGUCUACGAGAAGGGAGUGAAACAGUGAUGCUGUUGUUAAGAUAGGAGCAAUGUUGUCAGUUGUGGAAAAGGGAACUGUCACAAAUGGCUUGUGAGAGGCGAACAACCAAAAGCUAAAUAUAUCAUCUAUUAAACUAAGGUGUCCGAGAAACACAAACUACUCCUUAACUUUUCAACCUUCUCGUAUUUGAGAACAUCAGUAAUUUCUUUUUAGGCACAUACAAGGGUGGCAUGGCACCAGAUAUACCAAAAAUCAAUUCUAAAAUUGGAACAGUGAGGAGUGAGCAGAUCAAAACUUAGGAAGAACAAUAGCACACAAUAAUGUGGUCAACAGUAGCACAUAUUAAUAAGCAUUUUCCAAUCCAAACAAUUAAACAGAGCCAGUAGAAAAUCUAAACCAUAGUUUGACUACAAAAUCCGUACUUCAAAA